AAACAACUCUACGCAUUGUUUACAUCACGUUCAGGCUCGGGCUUUAGUCUGUGUAUCAAGAAUGGCAAAGCCCCGCGCUCCCUCCUUCCAGGCUUCGCGGCAGAUGUCCCCAAUCUGGCACGAUGGCGCUCCUUCCUGCUAAACCGAAGCCAAACCUUGGAAUUCUCUACUCAGGUUUCAAGGGGCCACGCCCAGCUUUUUAGUGUUAGUACAUGGAAGAAGUAUAUAUUCAUCGUCUUUGCUUACACUGAAAGGAAACUGCAUUUUUAAAAAGAGAGUGAUGAAGAUUUGAUCGCUGGGAGGAUUAUUUGAAGCAGCGCACUGCACAGGAAGAAGGGGGGAGCCCUGAAUUAGGAAACGGAGUGCUUUAUAGGGGUCAUGAAAGAUUAUUGCACCUGAGGGACUGAAGACCAUAUGAAGAAGAACACGAAACAAGAGAACAAAAAAAACCCCACAACUUUACUCAAAUAGAAACCUCAUUUAAUGUUCACUUUUUUUCUCAGUGAAAUGAAAACUGAGUUAAGUGCCAGAGAACACUGAUAUUGAUGUUGUUAGAAAAACUUUGGUAUAAUCAUAAAGCCUUAUGUCUUCUGCACUACACAGCCUUUUUUAUAUCAUUUAAUGUGUAUUAAAACAUGCUGAGACAAUGGAAAAGAAAGAAAACAUUAUGUAGAAACCAAGAGAAAAAAAAACAGUGAGGAAAAACCUUAUAGUAAGACUUUACAAAAAUUUUCAGGCAAUUCUUAUCAAUUGCCUUCACUAAACCCAUAAGUAAUGUGGUCAA